GUGGGGAAUUUUGCGCAAUGGGCGAAAGCCUGACGCAGCGACGCCGCGUGGGUGAUGGAGGCCUUCGGGUCGUAAAGCCCUGUGGGGAGGGAAGAAGGCGCAAGUCUGACGGUACCUCCUUAGCAAGCACCGGCUAACUACGUGCCAGCAGCCGCGGUAAUACGUAGGGUGCAAACGUUGUUCGGAUUUACUGGGCGUAAAGCGCGCGUAGGCGGAUUCGCGUGUCGGAUGUGAAAUCCCCCGGCUCAACUGGGGAAGUGCGUUCGAAACUGCGAGUCUCGAGUACGGGAGAGGAGGGUGGAAUUCCCGGUGUAGAGGUGAAAUUCGUAGAUAUCGGGAGGAACACCAGUGGCGAAGGCGGCCCUCUGGACCGAUACUGACGCUGAGGCGCGAAAGCGUGGGGAGCAAACAGGAUUAGAAACCCUGGUAGUCC
rnacentral:rRNA from 1 species